CACCAAUCCAGCCAGGGUCUGCAUCCAGCCUUUUGUCUUCAGUGAAGAUUAGCAAGUCUCCCUUCUUGAAGGACAGGAUGCUGGGAUCUUCUGGAAAACAGAAUAAGGGAGUACUAUUCCAGCUUGACAAUCCAAGAAAAUGCAAAGGGAUUGCAACAUGAAAGACAAGGGAAUUGUAUUUUGAAGGUCUGAAUUCAGUUAGCAAUAGAAAGUGAUUUGUGUAAAUAUGGCUUAUUUUCCAGUAACACUUCAGAGAAAUCACUUCUGUUUCCUCUGACACCCUGAUUUUGAUCCACUGAGGGCAAUGGCAGAACUCCGUUUGAUUCACAUGAAUGCUGACUUUGUGUCUAGACUGGCAGCAAAGCAUGGAAAGGAACUCAGUAGUAUCCUUCCAGGAACAUCACCACCAGUUCAGCAAUGACAACGCUAUUUACAGAUGUCAGAACAAACUCCUCGGCACGAAGCGUGAUAAGAGUGCAACUCUGUCCAAAUGACUUCACUGCCCUAUGUAUUAUCAAACAAUUUGUUACCAGAGCAUCUGAAAAACUUACAGACCUAUCUGUAAAUACAGCCAAGGCACCCACACCUCCUUGCAGGUAACUCCCUUUCAGUGAAUAUUGGUAGUUCCUAAUUUGCCUUCCCAUGAACUGGUAGGUGUGAAGGACUGAAGUGGUUCAGCUUUACCGUGGACUCCACCAUGUUUUGUAUAAAAGUGCUUCCAUAUAGACAAAAGAACACCCUUCUUCUGGAGUAACUUGACAACUAAUUAAAUCUCUGGCAGUCCUCA